UACGAAGGGGGCUAGCGUUGCUCGGAAUCACUGGGCGUAAAGGGUGCGUAGGCGGGUCUUUUAAGUCAGAGGUGAAAUCCUGGAGCUCAACUCCAGAACUGCCUUUGAUACUGAGGAUCUUGAGUUCGGGAGAGGUGAGUGGAACUGCGAGUGUAGAGGUGAAAUUCGUAGAUAUUCGCAAGAACACCAGUGGCGAAGGCGGCUCACUGGCCCGAUACUGACGCUGAGGCACGAAAGCGUGGGGAGCAAACAGGG
rnacentral:rRNA from 1 species